ACAUGCCAUGUCGAACAAAUAACUUACGUAAUGCAAAAAUAAUUGGGCAUGGCAUGUCGAACAACUUACUCAAUCCAACUAAAUCCGACAUGACAUAUCAAACAAACGACGUAAGUAAUGCAAAAAUAAUAGGACAUGACAUGUCGAACAACUUACUACAUCCAACAUGCCAUGUCGAACAACUUAAUCACACUAAAUCCAACAUAUGCCAUAUCUAACAACUUAAUGCAAAUUAAUCGGACAUGGCAUGUCCAACAACUUAUUGCAAAAUAAUCGGGCAUAGUAUGUCCAACAACUUAUUGCAAAAUAAUCGGGCAUGGCAUGUCGAACAACUUACUACAUCCAACAUGCCAUGUCGAACAAAUAACUUACGUAAUGCAAA
rnacentral:lncRNA from 1 species